UUCCGUCCGGCAAAACCACGCCUGCGUAGCGCUGUCUUCAGUGCCCAAUGCUAUAAAAUCCUAUCCCUGGAGCUCCGCUUCGCCAGCCAAUGGAGGCGCCGACCAAUUGUUGCCAAGGCAGAGCACUCCUUUCUCUCUCGAUCUUAUCCUCACGUCGCUCGAGCUUGUUCACUUCCGCGUAGCUAUAAAAAGGGUACUGAAGCCUCUUGCCGGAGUUCCCUUUGCCACCACCGCCCUUGUCG
rnacentral:lncRNA from 1 species